AGAGUUUGAUCCUGGCUCAGAGUGAACGCUGGCGGCAGGCCUAAUACAUGCAAGUCGAACGGCAGCACAGUGGAGCUUGCUCCAUGGGUGGCGAGUGGCGGACGGGUGAGGAAUACAUGGGAAUCUGCCCAGUCGUGGGGGAUAACGUAUGGAAACGUACGCUAAUACCGCAUGCGCCCUUCGGGGGAAAGUCGGGGACCGCAAGGCCUGACGCGAUUGGAUGAGCCCAUGUUCGAUUAGCUAGUUGGCGGGGUAACGGCCCACCAAGGCGACGAUCGAUAGCUGGUCUGAGAGGAUGAUCAGCCACACUGGAACUGAGACACGGUCCAGACUCCUACGGGAGGCAGCAGUAGGGAAUAUUGGACAAUGGGCGCAAGCCUGAUCCAGCCAUGCCGCGUGAGUGAAGAAGGCCCUCGGGUUGUAAAGCUCUUUUGUUGGGGAAGAAAAGCAGUUGGUUAAUACCCGAUUGUUCUGACGGUACCCAAAGAAUAAGCACCGGCUAACUUCGUGCCAGCAGCCGCGGUAAUACGAAGGGUGCAAGCGUUACUCGGAAUUACUGGGCGUAAAGC
rnacentral:rRNA from 1 species